AAGCUCGUAGUUGAAUUUCGGGGUUCUACCGUUGGUCGGGCUAACCAGUCUGUACUAGCGUGUAGAAUUCUUACCUUCUGGGGAACCAUCAUGUUAUUAAUUUAGCGUGGUAGGAAACCAGGACCUUUACCUUGAAAAAAUUAGAGUGUUCAAAGCAGGCUUACGUCUGAAUACAUUAGCAUGGAAUAAUAAAAUAGGACGGUGGUCCUGUUUUGUUGGUUUCUGAAUCACCGUAAUGAUUAAUAGGGAUAGUUGGG
rnacentral:rRNA from 1 species